GAUGUUGGCUUAGAAGCAGCCAUCAUUUAAAGAAAGCGUAAUAGCUCACUGGUCGAGUCGGCCUGCGCGGAAGAUGUAACGGGGCUAAACCAUGCACCGAAGCUGCGGCAGCGACACUAUGUGUUGUUGGGUAGGGGAGCGUUCUGUAAGCCUGCGAAGGUGUGCUGUGAGGCAUGCUGGAGGUAUCAGAAGUGCGAAUGCUGACAUAAGUAACGAUAAAGCGGGUGAAAAGCCCGCUCGCCGGAAGACCAAGGGUUCCUGUCCAACGUUAAUCGGGGCAGGGUGAGUCGACCCCUAAGGCGAGGCCGAAAGGCGUAGUCGAUGGGAAACAGGUUA
rnacentral:rRNA from 1 species